rnacentral:lncRNA from 1 species
CAAGUUUUCCACAAUUUUGACAUGAAGGACUUGGUUCUUCCUUCUUUAUUUCCUUCUUCAUAAACUUAUAAAACUUUUCAAUUAUAUCAUUGGAGUAAUAGCAUCAUCGUUUUCCGAGUCACUUACCUCUUCUCUUUUAUAGGAUGAGGCUUUGAAGCCAAUAUUCGAAUUACUUCUAAGAUACGGAUUAAGAAUUGUGCUUUCAUAAGCUUUAAGAUUACCUCGUAGUCCAUCAAUUGUGACGUCCGUGAUUCCUAUCGACUCUUGGAUAGCAUUUGCUUUGGACACCAUUUGGGAGUGAG